GAUGAAGAACGCAGCGAAAUGCGAUAAGUAAUGUGAAUUGCAGAAUUCAGUGAAUCAUCGAAUCUUUGAACGCGCAUUGCGCCCCUUGGUAUUCCGGGGGGCAUGCCUCUUCCAGCGUCAUUUCACCCCUCAAGCUCUGCUUGGUAUUGGGCCGCGCCGGCAACGGCGGGCCUCGAAAAUAGUGGCGACGCCAUCGUGCUCUCAGCGUAGUAAUUCUUCUCGCUGUUGGGUCCCGGUGGUCGUCCGCCAGCAACCCCCAACUUUCUUAAGUUUGACCUGGGAUGAGGUAGGGAUACCCGCUGAACUUAAGCAUAUCAAUAAGCGGAGGA
rnacentral:misc_RNA from 1 species